GGAAGACAGAGGGAGGGGCGUGUGCAGGGAGACCUGUAGUUUCCGCUUGCGGUCCGGCUGUAGGCUGAGGAAAGUUCGUUCUCGCUUUGGGGCUGCGGUUUGCCUUGAAUCCCCUCUGCCUGUGAGACCCGAAGCGAGUUUUCAGCACAUGAGCUGUCCAUUUCCGGAAAAAAAACCCAAAAAACAAACAAACAAACAAACAACCAAAAAACCAGGGACACUCAUCACCCUUGUCUGUCGUCCUCGUGCUUGGUGUUGAAUAAGCAUAUAUAUAAUUAUAAAAACCAUGGAUGAAGAACCUGAAAGAACUAAGCGGUGGGAAGGAGGCUAUGAGAGAACCUGGGAAAUUCUUAAAGAAGAUGAAAGUGGAUCACUUAAAGCUACAAUAGAGGAUAUUCUCUUCAAGGCAAAGAGGAAAAGAGUGUUUGAGCACCAUGGACAAGUUCGACUUGGAAUGAUGCGCCACCUGUACGUGGUGGUGGAUGGGUCCAGAACAAUGGAAGAUCAGGAUUUAA
rnacentral:lncRNA from 1 species